CAGAUCAGCCGCGGUAAUUCCAGCUCCAAUAGCGUAUAUUAAAGUUGUUGCAGUUAAAAAGCUCGUAGUUGAAUUUCGGGAUCAAUAUGUCGGUCGUGCCUCGGUACGUACUGGCGUAAUUGGUUUCUCCCUUCUGAAGAACCGCGAUGUCAUUAAUUUGGUGUCGUGGGGAAUCAGGACUGUUACUUUGAAAAAAUUAGAGUGUUUAAAGCAGGCUCGCGCUUGAAUACAUUAGCAUGGAAUAAUGAAAUAGGACGUUUGAUUCUAUUUUGUUGGUUUCUAGGAUCGACGUAAUGAUUAAUAGGGAUAGUUGGGGGCAUUAGUAUUCAAUUGUCAGAGGUGAAAUUCUUGGAUUUAUUGAAGACUAACUACUGCGAAAGCAUUUGCCAAGGAUGUUUUCAUUAAUCAAGAACGAAAGUUAGGGGAUCGAAGACGAUCAGAUACCGUCGUAGUCUUAACCAUAAACUAUGCCGACUAGGGAUCGGAUGAUGUUAAUUUUUUAAUGACUCAUUCGGCGCCUUACG
rnacentral:rRNA from 1 species